CCUCACGCGACCCGGUGAAUGUGAGUUUGUGUGUCUGUCACUGAGUUUGUGUUUUUUCUGUCAGUGUCUGUGAGUGUGUGUGUCCAGUGAAUGUGUGUGUCUGAGUGAGUGUGCGCGUCUGUCAGUGCUUAUGUGUGUCUGUCAGUGAAUGUAUGCGUCUGUCAGUGUGUGUCUGAAUGAUUGUAUGUGUCUGUCAGAUUGUGUCAAAUCAGUGAGGGUAUGUGUGUAUAUGUCAGUGUAUCUGAGAGUGUGUGC